rnacentral:rRNA from 1 species
CCUACGGGGGGCACCAGUAGGGAAUCUUCGGCAAUGGACGAAAGUCUGACCGAGCAACGCCGCGUGAGUGAAGAAGGUUUUCGGAUCGUAAAACUCUGUUGUUAGAGAAGAACAAGUAGGAGAGUAACUGCUCUUACAUUGACGGUAUCUAACCAGAAAGCCACGGCUAACUACGUGCCAGCAGCCGCGGUAAUACGUAGGUGGCAAGCGUUGUCCGGAUUUAUUGAGCGUAAAGCGAGCGCAGGCGGUCUUUUAAGUCUGAUGUGAAAGCCCUCGGCUCAACCGAGGAAGGUCAUUGGAAACUGGAGGACUUGAGUGCAGAAGAGGAGAGUGGAAUUCCAUGUGUAGCGGUGAAAUGCGUAGAUAUAUGGAGGAACACCAGUGGCGAAGGCGACUCUCUGGUCUGUAACUGACGCUCAGGUGCGAAAGCGUGGGGAGCAAACAGGAUUAGAUACCCUCGUAGUC